AGAGCGAACGCUGGCGGCAGGCCUAACACAUGCAAGUCGAGCGCCCGUAGCAAUACGGGAGCGGCAGACGGGAUAGUAACACGUGGGAACGCGCCCUUCGGUUCGGAAUAACUCAGGGAAACUUGAGCUAAUACCGAAUACGCCCUUACGGGGAAAGAUUUAUUGCCGAAGGAACGGCCCGCGUCCGAUUAGCUAGUUGGUGAGGUAAUGGCUCACCAAGGCUACGAUCGGUAGCUGGUCUGAGAGGAUGACCAGCAUCACUGGGACUGAGACACGGGCCCAGACUCCUACGGGAGGCAGCAGUGGGGAAUAUUGGACAAUGGGCGCAAGCCUGAUCCAGCCAUGCCGCGUGGAUGAUGAAGGCCUUAGGGUUGUAAAGUCCUUUUAACGGGGAAGAUAAUGACGGUACCCGUAGAAUAAGCCCCGGCUAACUUCGUGCCAGCAGCCGC
rnacentral:rRNA from 1 species